rfam:Strongylocentrotus purpuratus Contig50190_fixed, whole genome shotgun sequence.
UCAUCGGUCCUUUUCAGGACUACAUACGCACAAAAAAAACACACCU